GCAAACUUGGUCAUUUAGAGGAAGUAAAAGUCGUAACAAGGUCUCCGUUGGUGAACCAGCGGAGGGAUCAUUACGAAAAGAGUAUCCGUACUCGUAACCCUUUGUGAACCUUACCUAUCGUCUGUUUCUUCGGCGGGAGGCCCCUGGGAGGGGCCCCGGGGCCCGGCCUGAGCCGGGCUCCCGCCGGAGGGGCGCAACCAAAACUCUUGCUGUACCACAGUGGCAACUCCGAGUUAAUCAUAAAAACAAGUUAAAACUUUCAACAACGGAUCUCUUGGUUCUGGCAUCGAUGAAGAACGCAGC
rnacentral:misc_RNA from 1 species